GAUGAAGAGCGUAGCGAAAUGCGAUAAGUAAUGUGAAUUGCAGAAUUCAGUGAAUCAUCGAAUCUUUGAACGCACAUUGCGCCCGCCAGUAUUCUGGCGGGCAUGCCUGUUCGAGCGUCAUUUCAACCAUCAAGCCCCCGGCUUGUGUUGGGGACCUGCGGCUGCCGCAGGCCCUGAAAAGCAGUGGCGGGCUCGCUGUCACACCGAGCGUAGUAGCAUACAUCUCGCUCUGGGCGUGCUGCGGGUUCCGGCCGUUAAACCACCUUCAUAACCCAAGGUUGACCUCGGAUCAGGUAGGAAGACCCGCUGAACUUAAGCAUAUCAAUAAGCGGAGGA
rnacentral:misc_RNA from 1 species